AGAAGGGUAUACGGUGGAUGCCUUGGUACUAUGAGCCGAUGAAGGACGCGGUAGCCGGCGAUACGCUUCGGGGAGGUGGCAACAACCUUUGAUCCGGAGAUGUCCGAAUGGGGAAACCCACAUGUGUAAAGCACAUGUGCCUUUAUAUCGUGGGAUAUAUUGUGCGGGAACCAUGCGAAGUGAAACAUCUCAGUAGCAUGAGGAAAAUAAAGAAAGGUCUGCGUCAAGCAGACUGUCGAUUCCGUUAGUAGUGGCGAGCGAACGCGGAGAAAUAUAGAAAUUUAUUCAUUGCACACAUAUGCUUGUGAGCGGUGAAUAAAUUAUCUAUUAGCCCAAACCUAUAGUGUGUUAUUUUUCAAACCAGUUUACUGGAGAGAUUAAUUUAAAGCUUACUGGCGUUGCAUUAUAGGCGUUAUAAGAAUUGACGUUGCGGUACAGUAAUACCGCAGAGGAAUUUAAGUGUGCUAUGUAGCAGAACAUACCUGGAAAGGUAGACCAAAGAGGGUGAUAGUCCCGUAUAGUGAAACAUCAUACAGUUCCUGAUCUUUUUCUUGAGUAAGUCCAGACACGAGAAAUCUGGACUGAAUUCGCGUAGACUAAUACGUAAGGCUAAAUACUCAUAGUGACCGAUAGUGAACCAGUACCGUGAGGGAAAGGUGAAAAGCACCCCGGAAGGGGAAUGAAAUAGUCCCUGAAACCGUAUACUUACAAGGAGUCGAAGACCUAGUCGAAUUUAUUCGACAGGUUAACGGCGUGCCUAUUGAAGAAUGAUCCAACGAGUUAGUUGUAUGUGGCUUAACUAAGUGUUAACAAACACGAAGUUGUAGUGAAAGCGAGGAUUAAUAGUCCGCAUAAAGUUAUAUUCAGUUUUCAGAUUCGUCUGAACGCUGAAUAUAUACUUUAAGGUCGCAUGCGCUAGACCCGAAACCCGAGUGAGCUACCCAUGGCCAGGAUGAACGUUGUGUAAAAGCAACGGGAGGUCCGAACCCACUGAUGUUGCAAAAUCAGGGGAUGAGCUGUGGGUCGAAGAGAAAUUCUAAUCGAACCGGGUGAUAGCUGGUUCUCCUCGAAAUAACUUUAGGGUUAGCGUCACGUGUUCCUUACAGAGGUAGAGCACUGAAUCGGACUCCGGUGGGAAACCGUCGGAUUCGAACCAAACUCCGAAUUCUGAUAAGUAAAUAGCGUGGCAGUUAGACCAUGGGCUCUAAGGUCCAUUGGUCGAAUGGAGAAGAAUCCACACCGCCGUCUAAGGCCCCCAAAUCCUAGCUAUAGUGCAAAGGAUGUGGGAUUGCUCAUACAACCAGGAGGUUGGCUUAGAAGCAGCCAUCCUUUAAAGAAAGCGUAACAGCUCACUGGUCAAGCGAUCCUGCGCCGACAAUAUAUAGGGGCUAAGCUAGGUGCCGAAGACGCGGGUCCUUUGCCAAGAUUUUGUGUGGUAAGUUUGCCCUCCUUCGCAUAAAGCUAUGGAGGGCGCCCUUCGCUAUUAAUAUUUAUAGCGAUUGGCGUCCGAAAGUUUUAUGUAUAUGGAGGCGGCUUGCCGCCCGAAGUCUUGGCGAAGGGCGGUAGAGGAGUGUUGUGUACAGGCUGAAGCGGGAUCCGUAAGGACCCGUGGACAGUGCACAAGUAAGAAUGUUGGAAUAAGUAAUAUAUAUAGGGGUGAGAAUCCCCUUCGCCGAAAAUCCAAGGUUUCCUGGGCAACGAUUGUCGUCCCAGGGUUAGUCGGGCCUAAGAGCCGGCCUCAAGAGGUCGGCCCGAUGGAAAACAGGGUUGAUAUUCCCUGACCAAUUAUGCGUUAUCCAAGACGGGACGCAUCAUGAUAAUCCAAGCGUGCUGUGAGUAUGUACGUCGCUGUACCAUUAGGGAGAAAUUCUAGGCAAAUCCGGAAUUUCUAGAUGGGUUUAUAACCUCCGGGUUAUAGACUUGUUGUAAUCUCGAAGGUAUGGAGAAAGUUCGCAAGAACAAUUUGGGUGAAUCAAGGUGCCAAGAAAAGCGUCGUGGUCACGCGUGUAAUUGUCCGUACCGCAAACCGACACAGGUGGAUGAGGAGAGAAUCCUAAGGCGCCCGGAUCAAUGUUCGUUAAGGAACUCGGCAAUACAGCAGGUGUACCUUCGGUAUAUACCUUGCCUGUUUGCAUGCUGGGUCAAUGGAAAGAAGUUUUUCUCAUUAGUUUGCACGCUCAAGCGUAUGGCUACGUCAGCAUCAAAUCGCUCCGCGAUUUGGCAGUCUGUGCCAUAAGGCUUUCGCUUAGCAAACUAAUGAGAAAGAGAAAGUUUGGGAAUACAUAACCAAUUGAUUUUGGUGGAGGUAUCGCCCAACGUAUCAGAGUGUUCGCAAGUAUCAUGAAAUACUGAAA
rnacentral:rRNA from 1 species